CCUACGGGAGGCAGCAGUGGGGAAUAUUGGGCAAUGGGCGCAAGCCUGACCCAGCAACGCCGCGUGAAGGAAGAAGGCCCUCGGGUUGUAAACUUCUUUUGGCAGGGACGAAGAAAGUGACGGUACCGGACGAAUAAGCAACGGCUAACUACGGGCCAGCAGCCGCGGUAAUACGUAGGGGGCAAGCGUUAUCCGGAUUUACUGGGUGUAAAGGGCGUGUAGGUGGGACUGCAAGUCAGAUGGGAAAUUCCAGGGCUCACCCCUGGAACUUCAUUUGAAACGGUCGUUCUUGAGUGAUGGCGAGGCAGGCGGAAUUCCUUGUGUAGCGGUGACAUGCGUAGAUAUACGGAG
rnacentral:rRNA from 1 species